UAGGCAAGGGGAGCAAGAUGGAGUCACAGACACAGGUUCUCAUUUCCCUGCUGCUCUGCGUGUCUGGUGCCUGUGCGGACAUUGUGAUGACCCAGUCUCCAUCCUCCAUCGCUGUGUCAUUAGGAGAGAAGGUCACCAUCAGAUGCAAGUCCAGUCAUAGUCUUUUCAACAGUAACUACAACGAAAACUACUUGAACUGGUACCAGCAGAAAACAGGGCAGUCUCCUAAACGGUUAAUCUACUGGGCAUCCACUCGGGAAACUAGGGUCACUGAUCGCUUCAUAGGCAGUGGAUCUGAGACAGAUUUCACUCUCACCAUCAGUAGUGUCCAGGCUGAAGAUCUGGCAGAUUAUUACUGUAUGCAAGCUAAUGAGGAACCUUCCACAGUGCUUCAGCCUCCAACAAAAACUUCUGAGAAUUUCAACAGCUGCCU